rnacentral:rRNA from 1 species
AGUAAUACAUAAGUAACCUGGCAUCUACAGGGGGAUAACUGAUGGAAACGACUGCUAAUACCGCAUAAGCCCACAGGUCGGCAUCGACCAGAGGGAAAAGGAGCAAUCCGCUUUGAGAUGGCCUCGCGUCCGAUUAGCUAGUUGGUGAGGUAAUAGCCCACCAAGGCGACGAUCGGUAGCCGGACUGAGAGGUUGAACGGCCACAUUGGGACUGAGACACGGCCCAG